rnacentral:rRNA from 1 species
AGUGAACGCUGGCGGCAGGCCUAACACAUGCAAGUCGAGCGGCAGCGCGGUGUAGCAAUACACUGGCGGCGAGCGGCGGACGGGUGAGGAAUGCGUCGGAAUCUGCCUCUUUGUGGGGGAUAACGUAGGGAAACUUACGCUAAUACCGCAUACGACCUACGGGUGAAAGUGGGGGACCUUCGGGCCUCACGCAGAGAGGU